rnacentral:rRNA from 1 species
UACGAAGGGGGCUAGCGUUGCUCGGAAUCACUGGGCGUAAAGCGCACGUAGGCGGAUUGUUAAGUCAGGGGUGAAAUCCUGGAGCUCAACUCCAGAACUGCCUUUGAUACUGGCGAUCUUGAGUCCGGGAGAGGUGAGUGGAACUGCGAGUGUAGAGGUGAAAUUCGUAGAUAUUCGCAAGAACACCAGUGGCGAAGGCGGCUCACUGGCCCGGUACUGACGCUGAGGCACGAAAGCGUGGGGAGCAAACAGGG